CUUAACUUAUUUUAUGGUUUUGGCUUAUGGUUGGUGUAUGUGUAAUUAAUCUAUGUUGGCUUAUGCAUUGGUUCUAUCGUGUUGUACUAGUCCUACAUGGUGUCUAGUAAUCUCUAGAGUUAGGGUCUGCUUUUAAUUAUUAUUUAUACCUUGUCUAGACCCGUCGACCGUUCAUGCUUUUGAGGCGAACCGAGUUUAGACUGCUUGCCAGGAGUUAUCACGUGGAUUAGCAAGCAGUGAGUUUAUAUCGCUAUUUACCGCUUUAUUAAGUAAAUUGUAUUUUUGCAUAUAUAUAUAUAUUGUAUAAACAGCUUUCGAACUGUUUUUCGGCAUUAUGGAUCUGAAUUGGAACGGGCUACUCGAUGGGCAUCAUCGAGACUGCGUGCGCACCGGUAUGAUCAUAUAUGGUAUUUGAGGUAGGUUAGAGAUACGUCUCACCUAGUGAGGGCGCCGGUGGAAGAUACGUCUCCUGGGACUCACGUGUUUUAUUUGAGUGACAGUCGGGGAUCGGUUAUGGAGAUACGUCUCACCGACACGAUAACUGGAUUUAGAUAUUUGUGGUUUAGGGUUUCAAUGCUUAUCCAUAAUGGUUUAUGAUUUGAGCGUUGGUCGAUCUCCGUUUCUUCAUUCUCGGAGGUUUUAUUUUAUUUUCAGAAUAAAAGAGUCGAACUGUUUUAAACUCUUAGACCGCAGUAGUAGUAUCAGUUAUUCAUGUCUUAGUCUUUUAUUUAUAUUUUUAACUAUUGUUGUUGGAUUUGUCCAACUAUUACUGUAUCGCUUUUGGCAUGAUUACAGUGUUUAUGGUAUUUAUAUUAUAUUGCCAUACUGUUGGAGAUUUUUCUGAGAUAAGCGUAAUUUAAAUAUAUAUUGCUUUAUGUA